AACGAACGCUGGCGGCAUGCCUAACACAUGCAAGUCGAACGAGACCUUCGGGUCUAGUGGCGCACGGGUGCGUAACGCGUGGGAACCUGCCCUUAGGUUCGGAAUAACUCCCCGAAAGGGGUGCUAAUACCGGAUAAUGUCUUCGGACCAAAGAUUUAUCGCCUUUGGAUGGGCCCGCGUUGGAUUAGCUAGUUGGUAGGGUAAAAGCCUACCAAGGCGACGAUCCAUAGCUGGUCUGAGAGGAUGAUCAGCCACACUGGGACUGAGACACGGCCCAGACUCCUACGGGAGGCAGCAGUGGGGAAUAUUGGACAAUGGGCGAAAGCCUGAUCAGGCAAUGCCGCGUGAGUGAUGAAGGCCUUAGGGUUGUAAAGCUCUUUUACCCGGGAUGAUAAUGACAGUACCGGGAGAAUAAGCUCCGGCUAACUCCGU
rnacentral:rRNA from 1 species